GUCCCGGUAGCUCAGUGGAUAGAGCAGCCGCCUUCUAAGCGGCUGGUCGCGCGUUCGAUCCGCGCCCGGGGCACCC
rnacentral:tRNA from 1 species